rnacentral:rRNA from 1 species
AUUGAACGCUGGCGGCAUGCUUUACACAUGCAAGUCGAACGGCAGCGCGGGCUUCGGCCUGGCGGCGAGUGGCGAACGGGUGAGUAAUGCAUCGGAACGUGCCCAGUAGUGGGGGAUAGCCCGGCGAAAGCCGGAUUAAUACCGCAUACGACCUGAGGGUGAAAGCGGGGGACCGAAAGGCCUCGCGCUAUUGGAGCAGCCGAUGGCGGAUUAGCUAGUUGGUGGGGGAAAGGCUUACCAAGGCGACGAACCGUAGCUGGUCUGAGAGGACGACCAGCCACACUGGGACUGAGACACGGCCCAGACUCCUACGGGAGGCAGCAGUGGGGAAUUUUGGACAAUGGGGGCAACCCUGAUCCAGCCAUGCCGCGUGCGGGAAGAAGGCCUUCGGGUUGUAAACCGCUUUUGUUCGGGAAGACAUCCUCUGGGCUAAUACCCCGGGGGGAUGACGGUACCGGAAGAAUAAGCACCGGCUAACUACGUG